AACGAACGCUGGCGGCAGGCUUAACACAUGCAAGUCGAGCGCCCCGCAAGGGGAGCGGCAGACGGGUGAGUAACGCGUGGGAAUCUACCCAACCCUACGGAAUAACGCAUGGAAACGUGUGCUAAUACCGUAUACGCCCUUUUGGGGAAAGAUUUAUCGGGGAUGGAUGAGCCCGCGUUGGAUUAGCUAGUUGGUGGGGUAAAGGCCUACCAAGGCGACGAUCCAUAGCUGGUCUGAGAGGAUGAUCAGCCACAUUGGGACUGAGACACGGCCCAAACUCCUACGGGAGGCAGCAGUGGGGAAUAUUGGACAAUGGGCGCAAGCCUGAUCCAGCCAUGCCGCGUGAGUGAUGAAGGCCCUAGGGUUGUAAAGCUCUUUCACCGGAGAAGAUAAUGACGGUAUCCGGAGAAGAAGCCCCGGCUAACUUCGUGCCAGCCGCCGCUGUAACAC
rnacentral:rRNA from 1 species